GUCCUCUUGACCGAGUAGUGAGGUGGCCGGCUGCAACCCGGCUCAGGCAGGUGCAAUUCCUGCAGAGGACUCCA
rnacentral:tRNA from 2 species